GAAUUGCGAUAAGUAGUGUGAAUUGCAGAAUUCUGUGAAUCAUCGAAUCUUUGAACGCAUAUUGCGCCCUCUGGUACUCCGGAGAGCAUGCCUGUUUGAGGGUAAUUAAAUAAAAUCUUUGAUCUUUCUUGGGUCAAAGGACAUGGGCAUUCCGCGAUUUUUUCAGCGGUAGCCUGAAAUGGAUGGUUUAGUCUCAUCAAGUCGAGACGCGUAAUAAUCAAUUAUUUCGCUUAACGGUUGACGAGCUACCAAGUUUUGAUAGAUUCAACCUCGGUUGGAUGGUGGUCAAAACAAAUAACAUUUUGACAUUACCUCAAAUCAGGCAGGAAUACCCGCUGAACUUAA
rnacentral:misc_RNA from 1 species